GACAGAGGUGCCAAGCGUUAGGCGGAAUCACUGGGCUUAAAGCGUGUGUAGGCGGGCGAUCAAGUACCUUGUGAAAUCCCACGGCUCAACCGUGGACUGCUGGGUAUACUGGUUGUCUUGAGCCAGCUAGGGGCGAGCGGAACAGACGGUGGAGCGGUGAAAUGCGUAGAUAUCGUCUGGAACGCCGAAGGUGAAAACGC
rnacentral:rRNA from 1 species